UUACGGUCACAUCACAUUGAAACACCAGUUCCCGUACAAUCACCGAAGUUAAGCAACAUGUUACCUGGUCAGUACUUAAAUGGGUAAAUGCUUGGGAAUAUAAGGUG